rnacentral:rRNA from 1 species
AUUGAACGCUGGCGGCAGGCCUAACACAUGCAAGUCGAACGAGUGGCGGACGGGUGAGUAAUGUCUGGGAAACUGCCCGAUGGAGGGGGAUAACUACUCGAAACGGUAGCUAAUACCGCAUACCAUCAGAUGCGCCCAAAUGGGAUUAGCUUGUUGGUGGGGUAACGGCUCACCAAGGCGCCGAUCCCUAGCUGGUCUGAGAGGAUGACCUGCCACAAUGGAACGGGAACACGGCCCAGACUCCAACGGGGGGCGGCAGGGGGGAAAUUUUCACCAUGGGCGAAAGCCUGAUGCAGCCAGGCCGGGUGGAUGAAGAAGGCCUUCGGGUUGUAAAGUACUUUCAGCAGGGAGGCGUUAACCGCAGAAGAAGCACCGGCUAACUCCGUGCCAGCCGCCGCGGUAAUAC